UGCCACCCUAAACAUUCCCAAUCUCAUCUGAUCUCAGAAGCUAAGCAGGAUCGGGCCUGCUUAGUACUUGGAAGGGAGACCAUCUAGGAAGACCGGGU
rnacentral:rRNA from 1 species